rnacentral:misc_RNA from 1 species
AAAAAUACUUAGAUUUCUUACAUUAUUCAUCUUUUACAAACAAAACAGAGAAGUUAAGUCUUAGAUUUUAUGUGUUCAUUUGAUGCUCUUUUCUACAUCAACAUUUUCUAUGUGUUCAGUGUUUUUUUUUGCUUUUACAUUUAUUUUCAGUUUUUAGAAGUAAACAAAUAACUUUACAAUGCAUUUUAUGUGUUUCAGUUUAAAUGCAUUACAUUGUAGCAGUGUACAAAAAUAUCGUUAAAAGUAAUUCAUUUGAACUUGCACUUCAUAAGAACAAUAAACACCAA